UACAGAGACUGCAAGCGUUAUCCGGAAUUAUUGGGCGUAAAGCGUCCGUAGGUGGCUAGUCAAGUCUGCGGUCAAAGACUGGGGCUUAACCCUGGAAAGGCCGUGGAAACUGACGAGCUAGAGUGCAGUAGGGGUAGAGGGAAUUCCCGGUGUAGCGGUGAAAUGCGUAGAGCUCGGGAAGAACAUCGGUGGCGAAAGCGCUCUACUGGACUGCAACUGACACUCAGGGACGAAAGCUAGGGGAGCGAAUGGG
rnacentral:rRNA from 1 species